GAUGAACGCUAGCGAUAGGCUUAACACAUGCAAGUCGAGGGGCAGCAUGGUCUUAGCUUGCUAAGACUGAUGGCGACCGGCGCACGGGUGCGUAACGCGUAUGCAACUUGCCUCACAGAGGGGGAUAACCCGUCGAAAGACGGACUAAUACCGCGUACACUCCAUCUUGGGCAUCCAAGGUAGAGGAAAUGAAAUUCGCUGUGAGAUAGGCAUGCGUCCCAUUAGCUAGUUGGUGAGGUAGCGGCUCACCAAGGCGACGAUGGGUAGGGGAACUGAGAGGUUGAACCCCCACACUGGUACUGAGACACGGACCAGACUCCUACGGGAGGCAGCAGUGAGGAAUAUUGGUCAAUGGGCGAGAGCCUGAACCAGCCAAGUCGCGUGAAGGAUGACUGUCUUAUGGAUUGUAAACUUCUUUUAUACGGGAAUAACAAGAGUCACGUGUGACUCCCUGCAUGUACCGUAUGAAUAAGCAUCGGCUAACUCCGUG
rnacentral:rRNA from 1 species